UACGAAGGGGGCUAGCGUUGCUCGGAAUCACUGGGCGUAAAGGGUGCGUAGGCGGGUCUUUAAGUCAGGGGUGAAAUCCUGGAGCUCAACUCCAGAACUGCCUUUGAUACUGCCGUGCUUGAGGACUGGAGAGGAGACUGGAAUUUACGGUGUAGCGGUGAAAUGCGUAGAUAUCGUAAGGAAGACCAGUGGCGAAGGCGGGUCUCUGGACAGUUCCUGACGCUGAGGCACGAAGGCCAGGGGAGCAAACGGG
rnacentral:rRNA from 1 species